UAUCUCAUGGACCUGAUGCAGAUCUUGGAUGUCG
rnacentral:sRNA from 1 species